rnacentral:rRNA from 1 species
UACAGAGGGUGCAAACGUUGCUCGGAAUCAUUGGGCGUAAAGCGCACGUAGGCGGCUCCGCAAGUCGGAUGUGAAAUCCCUCGGCUCAACCGAGGACGUGCAUCCGAAACUGGCGGGCUUGAGUGUGGCAGAGGGGGGUGGAAUUCCGCGUGUAGCAGUGAAAUGCGUAGAGAUGCGGAGGAACACCGAUGGCGAAGGCAGCCCCCUGGGCUGACACUGACGCUCAGGCACGAAAGCGUGGGGAGCAAACAGG